GGGGCAGUAGCUCAGAUGGGAGAGCGCCAGAAUCGCACUCUGGAGGCCGCCGGUUCAACUCCGGUCUGCUCCAC
rnacentral:tRNA from 1 species